UCCGGGGGGGGCAAGCGUUGUUCGGAAUUACUGGGCGUAAAGGGCUCGUAGGCGGCCAACUAAGUCAGACGUGAAAUCCCUCGGCUUAACCGGGGAACUGCGUCUGAUACUGGAUGGCUUGAGUUUGGGAGAGGGAUGCGGAAUUCCAGGUGUAGCGGUGAAAUGCGUAGAUAUCGGAAGGAACAUCAGUGGCGAAAGCGGCUUCCUGGACCAGCACCGACGUUCAGGCACGAAAGCGUGGGGAGCAAACAGG
rnacentral:rRNA from 1 species